rnacentral:rRNA from 1 species
GACGAACGCUGGCGGCGUGCUUAACACAUGCAAGUCGAACGGCAAGGCCCUGCUUUUGUGGUGUGCUCGAGUGGCGAACGGGUGAGUAACACGUGAGUAACCUGCCCUUGACUUUGGUGUAACUUCAGGAAACUGGGGCUAAUACCGGAUAGGAUCUCCUGCUGCAUGGUGGGGGUUGGAUCGUUUAGGCGGUUGUGGAUGGACUCGCGGCUUAUCAGCUUGUUGGUGGGGUAGUGGUUUACCAAGGCUUUGACGGGUAGGCGGCACGAGAGGGUGACCGGGGACAUGGGGACUGAGGGACGGCCCAGACGCCAACGGUGGGCAACAGGGGGGAAUAUGACACAAUGGGAGGAAGCGGGAGGAAGCAACGCCGCGGGCGGGAUGACGGCUUUCGGGUUGUAAACAGCUGUCGGCUGUGGCGAAGCGUGAGUGACGGUAAUGAGUAAAGAAGCACCGGCUAACUACGUG